rnacentral:rRNA from 1 species
UACGAAGGGGGCUAGCGUUGUUCGGAAUUACUGGGCGUAAAGCGCGCGCAGGCGGCUAUCCAAGUCAGUGGUGAAAGCCCGGAGCUCAACUCCGGAACUGCCAUUGAAACUGUUUAGCUUGAGGAUGAGAGAGGUGAGUGGAAUUCCCAGUGUAGAGGUGAAAUUCGUAGAUAUUGGGAAGAACACCGGUGGCGAAGGCGGCUCACUGGGCCGAUAUUGACGCUGAGGAGCGAAAGCGUGGGGAGCAAACAGG